rnacentral:rRNA from 1 species
GAUGAACGCUGGCGGCGUGCCUAAUACAUGCAAGUCGAGCGAACAGACGAGGAGCUUGCUCCUCUGACGUUAGCGGCGGACGGGUGAGUAACACGUGGAUAACCUACCUAUAAGACUGGGAUAACUUCGGGAAACCGGAGCUAAUACCGGAUAAUAUAUUGAACCGCAUGGUUCAAUAGUGAAAGACGGUUUUGCUGUCACUUAUAGAUGGAUCCGCGCCGCACUAGCUAGUUGGUAAGGUAACGGCUUACCAAGGCAACGAUGCGUAGCCGACCUGAGAGGGUGAUCGGCCACACUGGAACUGAGACACGGUCCAGACUCCUACGGGAGGCAGCAGUAGGGAAUCUUCCGCAGUGGGCGAAAGCUUGACGGAGCAACGCCGCGUGAGUGAUGAAGGUCUUCGGAUCGUAAAACUCUGUUAUUAGGGAAGAACAAAUGUGUAAGUAACUAUGCACGUCUUGACGGUACCUAAUCAGAAAGCCACGGCUAACUACGU